GCUGGGUGUGGUGAUGCACACCUGUAAUCUCAGCUACUUGGGAGGCUGAGGCAGGAGGAUCACUUGAGCCCAGGAGGUUGAGGCUGCACCGAGCUGAGAUUGAACAACUGCACUCCAGCCUGGGCAACAGAGUGAGACUCUGUCUCCU
ensembl:misc_RNA Metazoa_SRP Metazoan signal recognition particle RNA